UACGGGGGGGGGCAAGCGUUGUUCGGAAUUACUGGGCGUAAAGGGCGCGUAGGCGGUUUCGUAAGUCCCGUGUGAAAGCCCCCGGCUCAACUGGGGAACUGCACGGGAAACUGCGAGGCUUUGAGUUCGGGAGAGGGAAGCGGAAUUCCCGGUGUAGUGGUGAAAUGCGUAGAUAUCGGGAGGAACACCAGUGGCGAAAAGCGGCUACCUGGCCCAUUCUUGACGCUGAGGCGCGAAAGCUAGGGGAGCAAACGGG
rnacentral:rRNA from 1 species